rnacentral:rRNA from 1 species
UUGGUUAAGUUAGAAAGGGCGCACGGUGGAUGCCUUGGCACUAGGAGCCGAAGAAGGACGGGACUAACACCGAUAUGCUUUGGGGAGCUGUACGUAAGCGUUGAUCCAGAGAUUUCCGAAUGGGGGAACCCACUAUCUUUAGUCGGAUAGUAUCCUUACGUGAAUACAUAGCGUGAGGAAGGCAGACCCAGGGAACUGAAACAUCUAAGUACCUGGAGGAAGAGAAAGAAAAAUCGAUUUCCUGAGUAGCGGCGAGCGAAACGGAAAGAGCCCAAACCAAGAAGCUUGCUUCUUGGGGUUGUAGGACACUCUAUACGGAGUUACAAAAGAAAGUUAUAAAUGAAGCGGUCUGGAAAGGCCCGCCAAAGACGGUAACAGCCCGGUAGUUGAAAUGGCUUUCCCUCCAGAGUGGAUCCUGAGUACGGCGGAACACGUGAAAUUCCGUCGGAAUCCGGGAGGACCAUCUCCCAAGGCUAAAUACUCCCUAGUGACCGAUAGUGAACCAGUACCGUGAGGGAAAGGUGAAAAGCACCCCGGAAGGGGAGUGAAACAGUUCCUGAAACCGUGUGCCUACAAGUAGUUAGAGCCCGUUAAUGGGUGAUAGCGUGCCUUUUGUAGAAUGAACCGGCGAGUUACGAUUUGUUGCAAGGUUAAGCGGAAAAAGCGGAGCCGUAGCGAAAGCGAGUCUGAAUAGGGCGCAUAAGUAACAGGUCGUAGACCCGAAACCAGGUGAUCUACCCAUGUCCAGGAUGAAG